rnacentral:ncRNA from 1 species
CCACCCGUGUCACCGGGUGAAUCUAGGAGCCUGAAUAAAGCAGCGGCUCUGACAAUGUAACGAAGCGUCGCAAGGCGCGGGGCGCAACUUGCGAGAGGCGCGCCUCUCUAGCAGCCACAAGCUGGAUAAGUGC